rnacentral:rRNA from 1 species
UACGAAGGGGGCUAGCGUUGCUCGGAAUGACUGGGCGUAAAGGGCGCGUAGGCGGUUUGGACAGUCAGAUGUGAAAUUCCUGGGCUCAACCUGGGGGCUGCAUUUGAUACGUUCGGACUAGAGUGGGGAAGAGGGUCGUGGAAUUCCCAGUGUAGAGGUGAAAUUCGUAGAUAUUGGGAAGAACACCGGUGGCGAAGGCGGCGACCUGGCCCGAUACUGACGCUGAGGCACGAAAGCGUGGGGAGCGAACAGG